CUCGGAGUUUGGAGCUGCCUGGACCCCUCCGGGCCCCGAGCACCAGGCUCUAACCAGCCUCCCAGGGAGCUUUGGGUCCCCGCUGGCAUCUGGGUACCGAAGCCCCUUCAGAUGCGGGGUGCCUGUAGUGACCCGCUCCACUGGACAAUAACGUCCCUUCCGGCCCGGGGUUGCCUGACCCCGACCCCACCCCACUUGACUGGUUCAUGCUGACAUUCGAGGAACAAUCCAGGGAAGGCAGGCCCGAGGCCGCCUGGGCUCUCACGGUUGGCCAGAUGAAGGGGUCCCGCGGCUGUCCCCAGAUGGGUGCAUCCAGGGAGGUGGCCGGAUAGGCACCUGGGCCUCCGUCCCCAGCUUCGCUUGCCCAGGGGCCACGGGAGCCCCGCAGCCACGCUCAGUGGUCUUCGUGGCAGGAAGUGCCAGGCAGUUCCGG
rnacentral:lncRNA from 1 species